GGAUUGACGUGACGGUUGUGCCUUAAGGGGUAUGAACUGUCGCAGUUGAUUUCUCACCUUCUGGAGAAGCUCGAUGUCCUUAAUUGGGUGUCAUGUGGAACCAGGACCUUUACCUUGAAAAAAUUAGAGUGUUUAAAGCAGGCAUUUUGCUCGAAUACAUUAGCAUGGAAUAAUAGAAUAGGACGGCAUGGUUCUAUUUUGUUGGUUUCUAGGAUCACCGUAAUGAUUAAUAGGGAUAGUU
rnacentral:rRNA from 1 species